GGGGAAUAUUGGACAAUGGGGGAAACCCUGAUCCAGCCAUGCCGCGUGAGUGAUGAAGGCCUUAGGGUUGUAAAGCUCUUUUGUCAGGGAAGAUAAUGACGGUACCUGAAGAAUAAGCACCGGCUAACUUCGUGCCAGCAGCCGCGGUAAUACGAAGGGUGCUAGCGUUGUUCGGAAUUACUGGGCGUAAAGCGCGCGUAGGCGGCUUUUCAAGUCAGGGGUGAAAUCCCACAGCUCAACUGUGGAACUGCCUUUGAAACUGUUAAGCUUGAGUGUCGGAGGGGAUAGCGGAAUUGCCAAUGUAGAGGUGAAAUUCGUAGAUAUUAGCAGGAACACCGGUGGCGAAGGCGGCUAUCUGGACGACAACUGACGCUGAGGCGCGAAAGCGUGGGUAUCAAA
rnacentral:rRNA from 1 species